rnacentral:rRNA from 2 species
GGCUCAGGAUGAACGCUGGCGGCGUGCCUAAUACAUGCAAGUCGAACGAGUUCUCGUUGAUGAUCGGUGCUUGCACCGAGAUUCAACAUGGAACGAGUGGCGGACGGGUGAGUAACACGUGGGUAACCUGCCCUUAAGUGGGGGAUAACAUUUGGAAACAGAUGCUAAUACCGCAUAGAUCCAAGAACCGCAUGGUUCUUGGCUGAAAGAUGGCGUAAGCUAUCGCUUUUGGAUGGACCCGCGGCGUAUUAGCUAGUUGGUGAGGUAAUGGCUCACCAAGGCGAUGAUACGUAGCCGAACUGAGAGGUUGAUCGGCCACAUUGGGACUGAGACACGGCCCAAACUCCUACGGGAGGCAGCAGUAGGGAAUCUUCCACAAUGGACGCAAGUCUGAUGGAGCAACGCCGCGUGAGUGAAGAAGGCUUUCGGGUCGUAAAACUCUGUUGUUGGAGAAGAAUGGUCGGCAGAGUAACUGUUGUCGGCGUGACGGUAUCCAACCAGAAAGCCACGGCUAACUACGUGCCAGCAGCCGCGGUAAUACGUAGGUGGCAAGCGUUAUCCGGAUUUAUUGGGCGUAAAGCGAGCGCAGGCGGUUUUUUAAGUCUGAUGUGAAAGCCCUCGGCUUAACCGAGGAAGCGCAUCGGAAACUGGGAAACUUGAGUGCAGAAGAGGACAGUGGAACUCCAUGUGUAGCGGUGAAAUGCGUAGAUAUAUGGAAGAACACCAGUGGCGAAGGCGGCUGUCUGGUCUGUAACUGACGCUGAGGCUCGAAAGCAUGGGUAGCGAACAGGAUUAGAUACCCUGGUAGUCCAUGCCGUAAACGAUGAAUGCUAGGUGUUGGAGGGUUUCCGCCCUUCAGUGCCGCAGCUAACGCAUUAAGCAUUCCGCCUGGGGAGUACGACCGCAAGGUUGAAACUCAAAGGAAUUGACGGGGGCCCGCACAAGCGGUGGAGCAUGUGGUUUAAUUCGAAGCAACGCGAAGAACCUUACCAGGUCUUGACAUCUUUUGAUCACCUGAGAGAUCAGGUUUCCCCUUCGGGGGCAAAAUGACAGGUGGUGCAUGGUUGUCGUCAGCUCGUGUCGUGAGAUGUUGGGUUAAGUCCCGCAACGAGCGCAACCCUUAUGACUAGUUGCCAGCAUUUAGUUGGGCACUCUAGUAAGACUGCCGGUGACAAACCGGAGGAAGGUGGGGAUGACGUCAAAUCAUCAUGCCCCUUAUGACCUGGGCUACACACGUGCUACAAUGGAUGGUACAACGAGUUGCGAGACCGCGAGGUCAAGCUAAUCUCUUAAAGCCAUUCUCAGUUCGGACUGUAGGCUGCAACUCGCCUACACGAAGUCGGAAUCGCUAGUAAUCGCGGAUCAGCACGCCGCGGUGAAUACGUUCCCGGGCCUUGUACACACCGCCCGUCACACCAUGAGAGUUUGUAACACCCGAAGCCGGUGGCGUAACCCUUUUAGGGAGCGAGCCGUCUA